AAAAAAAAAAACCAAAAAAAAUUUUUUUUUUUUUAGGGGGGGGGGGGGGGGGGGGGGGGGGGGGGGGGGGGGGGGGGGGGGGGGGGGGGGGGGGGGCCCCCCCCCCCCCCCCCCCCCCCCCCCCCCCCCCCCCCCCCCCCCCCCCCCCCCCCCCCCCCCCCUUUUUUUUAAAAAAAAUCGUUUGAAAUCGUUUUCAAAAAAAAAUUAAAAAAAAAAAAACCCGCCAAUUUUUUUUAAAAAUUUUAAAAAAAAAAAAAUAAUAAAAAUUUUUCGUUUUCCCGUUUUUAAAAAAAAAAAUUUUUUUUUUUUUUUUUUUUUGCCCUUUUUUGUUUUAAAACGGGCGUUAAAAAAAAAAAAAAAACGCCCCCU